AGAGUUUGAUCAUGGCUCAGAUUGAACGCUGGCGGCGUGCUUAACACAUGCAAGUCGAACGGAAAGGCCCUUCGGGGUACUCGAGUGGCGAACGGGUGAGUAACACGUGGGUGAUCUGCCCUGCACUUUGGGAUAAGCCUGGGAAACUGGGUCUAAUACCGAAUACACCUCAUUGACUGCAUGGUUGGUGGGGGAAAGCUUUUGCGGUGUGGGAUGGGCCCGCGGCCUAUCAGCUUGUUGGUGAGGUUACGGCUCACCAAGGCGACGACGGGUAGCCGGCCUGAGAGGGUGACCGGCCACACUGGGACUGAGAUACGGCCCAGACUCCUACGGGAGGCAGCAGUGGGGAAUAUUGCACAAUGGGCGCAAGCCUGAUGCAGCGACGCCGCGUGGGGGAUGACGGCCUUCGGGUUGUAAACUCCUUUCAGCACAGACGAAGCGCAAGUGACGGUAUGUGCAGAAGAAGGACCGGCCAACUACGUGCCAGCAGCCGCGGUAAUACGUAGGGUCCGAGCGUUGUCCGGAAUUACUGGGCGUAAAGAGCUCGUAGGUGGUUUGUCGCGUUGUUCGUGAAAACUCACAGCUUAACUGUGGGCGUGCGGGCGAUACGGGCAGACUUGAGUACUGCAGGGGAGACUGGAAUUCCUGGUGUAGCGGUGGAAUGCGCAGAUAUCAGGAGGAACACCGGUGGCGAAGGCGGGUCUCUGGGCAGUAACUGACGCUGAGGAGCGAAAGCGUGGGGAGCGAACAGGAUUAGAUACCCUGGUAGUCC
rnacentral:rRNA from 1 species